GCUUUUGAAAGUGUCUUUUGUAGAGUGUUUUUCUUAAAAAUACUUUUGAGUCUAGCAAUUUGUGUUUGAACGAUUGAAAAUUCUGAUUUUAUGGAUCCUUCAUUUUGCCAAAACAUUUUAAAGUUGGAAGAAACAAGAAUAGGAUCAUUCUUUAGUGUCAUUUCCUGCCAAGCGUGUAUGUGAUACAUAGAACUUGCGUGCCUAUAUAUUACGCCUUUUAUAUGAGCAAAGAACCUUUAGUAUUGUGAAGGCAGAGUCUUUCUUUCUUACCUUCAUCUUUCACAAGUUGAAUGCAUCAUUGAUUUGGUAUCUUCUAAUUUCUGAUAGUAGAUGAACCCUCAUAGACAUGUAAAGCAACUACUCCAGUCCAUAUCGUUACACUUGACUAUUGAUCGUACAUGUAAGGAAGUUAAUGGCAAAGGUUAAUCUAGCUGCCAAUCUCCCCUAUAUAAACACUUUACAACUAAGCAAUACAGCUUGUAUCAUUUGCCUCCUAUGUAUCAUUUGCAUUGUCGGCGUCAUCUACCUCUGGCUUGACAAAGAAUUCAAUAUAAGCAAUACGGCUGGGUUGCUGAUAGCCAGAAGAAUCAACAUGCGGAUGUGGUAUUGCUGGUUUUGCCACUGAGACCAGAUGCUGAACUUUGAGCAUUCCCCCUAUACCAAUGGUCAGCUUACUUCCUCGAUUAUCCCGGAUGACACUGCUGGGUAUGUUUGAGGUUGUAGCACGGAGAAAUUUGUAUUUAUAACUGUCAAUGUCAAGGUCUUUGAUCAGAUCAUAAAGUCUAACAUCAGGUCAAACUAUACCUGUAAGUCACCAUGGCCUUCACCUUUAAAGGUGAGGUGAAGGUUGUAGGAUUAGAAAAAUACUUAAUCCUGGCCGCUCAAGGUCAUCAAUGGCUUCCUUUAGAGCCGCAGACUACCAAUUGAACAAAUGAUAUUGUGAUAAUUAGCUCAUCAGUAGAGGAACGAGACUUCAAGCAAUCACAAUCUUAUUGCAUUAACCACUUUGUGAAACAAUAAAGGACAAAGAACAGAACGUGUAUAAAUUCACGGCACUUAACAUUUGCAAAAAUGUGAAGCUAACUUCAAAAAGCUUGCUAAGCUCUAUCGAUGGGACUAGAACAAAAUUUUACUUCUGAUGAACUCUUAUUUCUUUAGAUUAAUUAAAGAGAAAGAGAAAGAAAAUCAAUGAAGUUUCUAAAUUUUUCUUGUGUUUUUUCCUUAUCCAUUUAGAAGCAUAAGGAAGAUAAAAGAGCAAAAAAUAAGUUUUACUUCUGGGUGACUCAUAUAAUGUCAAAAGUGAAGAAGAAUACAACUUUACUUGAAAAGGAGGAAGACAAAUACCUCACUUCCCUCCCCAAAUCCCCUUGAACCAAACAAGGAAAUAAAAUUGGUCCGCUUCACUUCCUCUUCUGUAAUCCUUCUUGCUAUUAUCCUACCCUUCUUAUCAUUUCCCUCCAUUCCGUUCCGCACAGAGAAUGGAGCACUUACCCUUGGAUUUGUUGAUUUCUUCUGCAAAUGACCAGGGUCACUGGCAAACUUUGUCAAAAUAGGAAACACUGCUUUUGAACCCGGGCAGUUGCUUCUGGAGCAUCAUUUGCAGAGAAUUUGGUUGAUGAUUCAGUACCAGGGACAAAAGUCCAAAAUAGUAGCAGAAUAUUAGGUUAUACUACCAAAUGUAGCCUCCUGAAAGAGGCAUACCAAAUGGAAACAGAUAAUGUCUCUGACACUACUCAACUAAUCAAAUUAGAGCAAGAUACUAAACCUACAUUUCAAAUUUCAAGUCCUACAGAACAAGGGACUAGAAAUGGAAUUAGUUUGACAGUGUGUGCAGUGUGCAUUAGUAGAUUGAGCUCAACUCACGAUACUUAAGAAAUCACCUGUUUGGGUGUUCAACCCACCCUCCCCAAACCCACUUGUGGGAUCACAAGGGUGUGUUGUUAUUGUUGUAGACCAUCCGUAGUCAAUUAAACAUAAUGGUGUUUUGAACCGAGAAUUUUGAAAGCUAAUGGUUUCUGAUUCUACCAACAAAAGACAUUUUAUAUUUAUCUUUCGACAAAUCAAAAUCAGGGAGUUUGUCUAUAAUUAUUUUACCACAUCAAAUAAUCUUGCAUUCAAGGCCUGAGAGGAAACAAAAUCAGCAAAAUACCGUAUUUAUGGCAUGCAAAGCAUAAAGUGAACUUUUCCUCAUGCAACAAAAGAGGCUUAAGUUCCAUGUCAAAGUACUAGGAUUGAUAUAACCCAAUCUGUUACAAAAUGAUAGUACAGAUGAACUACUACCUAAAACAACAAUAUAAUACCCAGUCCCAGUGUGACUAUGAACCCAUAAGUGGAGUCUAGAGAGACUCAUGGCCUAUAAAUAGCUAGUUUGCCUUCAUUUUAAGGGGAGAUGUUAGAUGAAAUUUUUGUAGCCUCUUUUGAGAGCUUCUUUCAAGGUAGAAUCCUUGGGCAAGGUGGAAUCCUUGUGUUGAUGAUUUGCUUAGAAACGGAGAUUGCUUGGGGGUUCCGGUUCCCUUGAGGUCACGUAAGAGAUAGGUUUAGGUUGUGUGUGAUAUUAAAGGUCCAAAUAUGGAAUAAGCUUUUGGAUUGUUAAUAUUACAUCUUCAUUUGUCUAUCUAUCUAUCUUUACUUUCUUAUAAUCGUUUGUCUAUAUCUAGUAUAAUCCAUUUGUGUUCUUGUCUUGUAACCGUGUGUUGUUGUUAUUGCAUCUUGUUCAUCAAGUGUUGUUAUUAUUUUUAGUGUGUUUUACUCUUGAAGUCGUUUCCUUUCUUGUUCUUCUUGUGAAUCUGAGAGAGGUCAUCAAAGAGGGUCCUCGGUUCUUCAAAUCGUUGACUAUUUUGGUGUAUGUUUUUGUGUCUUUCUUGUCGAUCUUGUGUCAUUUGGUAUCAAAGCUGAUCUUGAUUUUGUUCCUACGAAGUCAAUCUUGGGUUUGUUAUCUUGAAAAUUAAAAAAAAAGUGUCAAAAUCAAAAAUUUCAAAAAAAAGUACUAUUCUCGUUUUUAACCCUAGGUCAAAAUUUGAGUCUUUGAUUUUGUUGUUUUCUUGUAUUUUUAGUGUUAGAUUCUUGUUCUCUAACGCUAUAGGAGUCUAGGGUUCGAAUUUGAACCAAAUCAGAGUUGAUUUGAGCGUUCUACCCUUGAUGUGGGCUUAAACUUGAAGAAAGAGAGGUGUGUUCAAGAUCUGAAAUUUUUGGUUGAGAAACUAAAAAAUAUUGAUGUUUGGAAUGUGUUUAUAAGGUUGAAAAUAGGCUCGAUUCAAAAUUUCAUCGCAUUCCGAUCAUCGGUUUAAAAGUUAGAGAUUUUUGAAGUUCUUGGUGUUCUUGAGUGUUCUUGAGAAGAUUCAAACCUUCAUCUUGAAUUCUUUUCAAAAGGUGGUGUUUGACCCUCAAAAUUGAAGAAAAAGUUGUGUUGAGUGCCUAAUUUAUAAGUACCAUGGCUUUGGGAGAUGAGAUCCAACCUAUCUCAAAAGAGGCGAUAAUGAAAGCUCUCAUGGAUUGGCGACAAGAAUUCAAUAGUUGGAAGAAGGAUGGGUCACUUUUGGAAGGAAACAUGGAAAGGGUGACGUGUCUUACUACCCAAACCCCACCAAAUAUACCCCAACCACCACAAUUCCACCAACAAAUACCUCAUUACCAAAGACCACAUCCGAUUCCACUUCAAGAACAUGUUCCUACUACAAACCAAGUUCCUGACAACAUUUUCAUCUAGCCCAAAUCCAAAUUGAGAAGACCAAUUCUAACAUGGAAACUUUGUUACUCGCUAACCAUGAUGCUAGCAUUUUACCUAGCAUCAUUCCUUCAUUUGUGCAAGUUCAUGAACAAAUAAUAUCAAAGGAGGAUGCAAGAAGAAUGCCAUAUGAAAAUGAGCUUGAAAGCCUAACGGAGUUCUUACCAAAGAAUUCCAAACUUGAAAGGUGCAACGACAAGUUGAUAAAGGAGUUGGAUUCGAGGACGAAUCCUCUUCAAGAAAGGGAGGAUGAUACAAGAUCAAUGGGCUCCACUCCUUUGGNNNNNNNNNNNNNNNNNNNNNNNNNNNNNNNNNNNNNNNNNNNNNNNNNNNNNNNNNNNNNNNNNNNNNNNNNNNNNNNNNNNNNNNNNNNNNNNNNNNNNACGCCCAUGACAUUAUUUUGGGCUUUGGGUCGCUUUUGGGCCCAAUAGCUUUUAGGGUCACUUUUGGGCCCAUUGUGUAAUAAAGAUCCAUGGCCUAUAAAUAGCUAGUUUGCCUUCAUUUUAAGGGGAGAUUUUAGAUGACAUAUUUGUAGCCUCUUUUGAGAGCCUCUUUCAAGGUGGAAUUCUUGGGCAAGGUGGAAUCCUUGUGUUGAUGAUUUGCUUAGAAACGGAGAUUUCUUGGGGGUUCCGAUUCUCUUGAGGUCACGUAAGAGAUAGGUUUAGGUUGUGUGUGAUAUUAAAGAUCCGAAAGUGGAAUAAGCUUUUGGAUUGUUAAUAUUACAUCUCCAUUUGUCUAUCUAUCUAUCUAUCUAUCUUUACUUUCUUGUAAUCGUUUGUCUAUAUCUAGUAUAAUCCAUUUGUGUUCUUGUCUUGUAACCGUGUGUUGUUGUUAUUGCAUCUUGUUCAUCAAGUGUUGUUAUUGUUUUUAGCGUGUUUUACUCUUGAAGUCAUUUCCUUUCUUGUUCUUCUUGCGAAUCUGAGAGAGGUCACCAAAGGGGGUCCUCGGUUCUUCAAAUCGUUGACUAUUUUGGUGUAUGUUUUUGUGUCUUUCUUGUCAAUCUUGUAUCACCAAGUCUUUCCUUAGCCAGAACCUCUUUAGAUUGUACUUAUUUUCACUAUUACCAAAUAUACAAGUACCCCAAAGUAACUCCACCAGAAUAGCAAACUCCACCGGAAUCGAACUCCACUUGCUACUCCAUCGGAAAGAUUGUACUUAUUUCCACUAUUACCAAAUAUCCGCCGGAAUCGGACUCCACUUGCUACUCCAUCGGGAAGAUUGUACUUAUUCCCAUUAUUACCAGAUAUACAAGUACCCCAAAGUAACUCCACCAGAAUAGCAAACUCCACCGGAAUCGGACUCCACUUGCUACUCCACCGGGAUGAAACUUCUGCUUGAGAACAAUAUAGCAAACUCCACCGGAAUCGGACUCCACUUGCUACUCCACCGGGAUGAAACUUCUGCUUGAGAACAAUAAUUCUAAUUCAGAAAUUUUUUCUGACGUGGAAGAUCAGACAAAGCUGCAACCACAGAGCAUACUAAAAUUUCAAAAAAAUUAUUCCACUCCACACCGAAGGCUCUGAUACCAUUUUUCCCGCUGCUUCCAGACCGCUUUCAAGCAGAAAAUAACAGAGAAAUUAAAGAGAAUACAACACAAAUAUUUAACAUGGAAAACUCCCCAAUUGGAGAAAAACCACGGGCCUCCUAGAAAAAUAUUCACUAUAUGAAAAUUAUUACACCAUACAAUACACAAUAUUUUUCUCACACACCCUCACAAUAUUUGUGUGUUAAACAAUGAAAGAGGUGGAGUUUAUUUAUAACUCUCAACCUCCUCCCAACCAAAAUAAAUUUCCGAUGUGGAAGGUUUUCUUUUCUUCAAAACAACUUCAACAGGAACAACUACUGCAACAUCCUUUUAUUCAGCAAGCUUUAUGCACUGCAUCAACGUGUAUCUCAUCAGUGCUUCUAAGUUUUGAAGUUUGAAGGACUUCAUUCAUGUUUAUUAAUGUCUGAAACAAGGGUUAAUCCUUUUGGUUGCCGUAUCCCAAUUCCAGAGAAGUACUUCAUCAGUUUGCCCUUUGAAGCAGUUUAAAGAGAACGUAUCGAAUAGGAAGGCAACAACACUUAGUGUCUUAUAUACGGAGUAGAAUUACUUAGCAGAAACCAAAUUGUGUAGUAAGUGUCAAAAAGAGUAAUAUAACACCCAUUCUAUUCUUUAGCAGAAUCUCUUCAUAUGUAUUACUUUCUAUUAAUGUUAAUUAAUAUUCUUUUCAUCAUACAAAAUAGAUGGCUUUUGAAAGUGUCUUUUGUAGAGUGUUUUUCUUAAAAAUACUUUUGAGUCUAGCAAUUUGUGUUUGAACGAUUGAAAAUUCUGAUUUUAUGGAUCCUUCAUUUUGCCAAAACAUUUUAAAGUUGGAAGAAACAAGAAUAGGAUCAUUCUUUAGUGUCAUUUCCUGCCAAGCGUGUAUGUGAUACAUAGAACUUGUGUGCCUAUAUAUUACGCCUUUUAUAUGAGCAAAGAACCUUUAGUAUUGUGAAGGCAGAGUCUUUCUUUCUUACCUUCAUCUUUCACAAGUUGAAUGCAUCAUUGAUUUGGUAUCUUCUAAUUUCUGAUAGUAGAUGAACCCUCAUAGACAUGUAAAGCAACUACUCCAGUCCAUAUCGUUACACUUGACUAUUGAUCGUACAUGUAGGGAAGUUAAUGGCAAAGGUUAAUCUAGCUGCCAAUCUCCCCAAUACAAACACUUUACAACUAAGCAAUACGGCUUGUAUCAUUUGCCUCCUAUGUAUCAUUUGCAUUGUCGUCGUCAUCUACCUCUGGCUUGACAAAGAAUUCAAUAUAAGCAAUACGGCUGGGUUG
rnacentral:lncRNA from 1 species